CCUACGGGACGCAGCAGUAGGGAAUCUUCGGCAAUGGACGAAAGUCUGACCGAGCAACGCCGCGUGAGUGAGGAAGGUUUUCGGACCGUAAAACUCUGUUGUUAGAGAAGAACAAGGACGUUAGUAACUGAACGUCCCCUGACGGUAUCUAACCAGAAAGCCACGGCUAACUACGUGCCAGCAGCCGCGGUAAUACGUAGGUGGCAAGCGUUGUCCGGAUUAUUGGGCGUAAAGCGAGCGCAGGCGGUUUCUUAAGUCUGAUGUGAAAGCCCCCGGCUCAACCGGGGAGGGUCAUUGGAAACUGGGAGACUUGAGUGCAGAAGAGGAGGGUGGAAUUCCAUGUGUAGCGGUGAAAUGCGUAGAUAUAUGGAGGAACACCAGUGGCGAAGGCGGCUCUCUGGUCUGUAACUGGCGCUGAGGCGCGAAAGCGUGGGGAGCAAACAGGAUUAGAUACCCUGGUAGUC
rnacentral:rRNA from 1 species